rnacentral:rRNA from 1 species
AAUGAACGCUGGCGGCAGGCCUAACACAUGCAAGUCGAACGGAUCCUUCGGGAUUAGUGGCGGACGGGUGAGUAACGCGUGGGAACAUACCCUUUGGUACGGAAUAGCAUCGGGAAACUAGGAGUAAUACCGUAUGUGGUCGAGAGACGAAAGAUUUAUCGCCAAAGGAUUGGCCCGCGUUGGAUUAGGUAGUUGGUGGGGUAAUGGCCUACCAAGCCGACGAUCCAUAGCUGGUUUGAGAGGAUGAUCAGCCACACUGGGACUGAGACACGGCCCAGACUCCUACGGGAGGCAGCAGUGGGGAAUCUUAGACAAUGGGGGAAACCCUGAUCUAGCCAUGCCGCGUGAUCGAUGAAGGCCUUAGGGUUGUAAAGAUCCUUCUGGUGGGAAGAUAAUGACUGUACCACCAGAAGAAGCCCCGGCUAACUCCGUGCCAGCCGCCGCCGUAA